GAAUAGGUCGGUCGGGAACCGGAACCACAGGCAUUUUUUUAGGCCCUACCUUACAACCUAGAGGAUCACAAAACACAUACAGAAUUUCAUGUUUGUGGCAAUCACUGCACAAUACCAAAAAGUCACAAUAUCACAUAAAAACACUAAAGAGUAUAAAAGAGCAAGCUUACACAAAAGAAACUUUCACUGUUGAUAUGGAAGUCGAUUUUCACUAUGUUAUUAUGAUCAACAAGACAACAAUAGGACAUAAAAGAACCAUAAACCACAAUGUUACUGAGUGAGCACAUUAAUUUAAGUUUAUUUGAUGUGCGGUAAGCGGACCAUACUUGUGUGCCAAAAUUAUACCGUGUUUCUUACGGCAUGAGCGGUCGUGUUGUUGUAUAUUCCAGCGGUUGUAUAUUUGAUACAACAUAGAGGUAAAUGUCAUAUAUAGCUUGUAAAAUUUGUUCAAAAAUAGGUGAUUUUAAGCGAAGAAAAUACUGAACCAUUAUUUUUAAUUGUUUAUUUUUUACUUGAAGAAGAGAAUAUUAAUUUCUGUAAACUUAUUAUGCAGUGUGACGCCACCAGUAUGAUAUUUGCAUUCAACACGAAGUGAAAUAUCUAAAAAGGAAGCAAGUUUUCAAAUUCCUAUAUAUACGGG